rnacentral:rRNA from 1 species
GGCGGCGUGCUUACACAUGCAAGUCGAACGAUGAAGCCCUUCGGGGUGGAUUAGUGGCGAACGGGUGAGUAACACGUGGGCAAUCUGCCCUUCACUCUGGGACAAGCCCUGGAAACGGGGUCUAAUACCGGAUAACACUCCCACUCGCAUGGGUGGGGGUUAAAAGCUCCGGCGGUGAAGGAUGAGCCCGCGGCCUAUCAGCUUGUUGGUGAGGUAAUGGCUCACCAAGGCGACGACGGGUAGCCGGCCUGAGAGGGCGACCGGCCACACUGGGACUGAGACACGGCCCAGACUCCUACGGGAGGCAGCAGUGGGGAAUAUUGCACAAUGGGCGAAAGCCUGAUGCAGCGACGCCGCGUGAGGGAUGACGGCCUUCGGGUUGUAAACCUCUUUCAGCAGGGAAGAAGCGAAAGUGACGGUACCUGCAGAAGAAGCGCCGGCUAACUACGUGCCAGCAGCCGCGGUAAUACGUAGGGCGCAAGCGUUGUCCGGAAUUAUUGGGCGUAAAGAGCUCGUAGGCGGCUUGUCACGUCGGGUGUGAAAGCCCGGGGCUUAACCCCGGGUCUGCAUUCGAUACGGGCUAGCUAGAGUGUGGUAGGGGAGAUCGGAAUUCCUGGUGUAGCGGUGAAAUGCGCAGAUAUCAGGAGGAACACCGGUGGCGAAGGCGGAUCUCUGGGCCAUUACUGACGCUGAGGAGCGAAAGCGUGGGGAGCGAACAGGAUUAGAUACCCUGGUAGUCCACGCCGUAAACGGUGGGAACUAGGUGUUGGCGACAUUCCACGUCGUCGGU